rnacentral:tRNA from 1 species
GAAGUAGCUCAGCCUGGUUAGAGCGCCACAAAUAUUCUUCCAACAAAAACGUGACGUGAUUUGGUAGGUAUUGGCGAUGCUCAUAAGUAACUGCUUAUGAACUCUGACUUCGUGAUGAGAUUAAGCAAUAAUCAAGCUGGGAAACGUGGAGGUCCGAGGGUUCGAAUCCCUCCUUCGGCA